CAAAGAUACAUCUUCAAGCGG
rnacentral:rRNA from 2 species